rnacentral:pre_miRNA from 1 species
AAAAAGGCAAAUCCUAGGUUUUCGUGUCCAACUUUGACUGUCCGUCUUAUAUGAAAUUUUUUUAUAAUUCAUAUUUUUAUUGUAGUUAGAUGAUAAAACAUGAUUAAUACUUUGUGCGUGACUUGUCUUUUAAUUUUUUUCAUAAUUUUUCAAAUAAGACGGACGGUCAAACGUUGGGCACGGAAAUCAGGGUUUGUCUUUUU